rnacentral:lncRNA from 1 species
UUUUUGUUCUUCUUUGCCGGUAAGUUUGCCAUACUUUGUCCUUUUUUUCUUCUUCUUUACCAUAAACAUGUUUCCUUGCCAUAUGUCCUCAAUUUAUUUUUCUGUUAUUUGACUCUUUUACUAUGUGUAUUCUUUUAUUUUAUUUGUUUUGUUAUCAUCCCUGCUAACAACAUGCUACAAACCAGUUCCUUCCUUCAUCUGAUUUAUUUUUUGGCUUAAUAAAUCAAUUACUUGUAUCACUUUCGCACUCGAAUCUCUGAUGUUGUUUAAUAUUUAUCCCAAAACAAUACAAAAUCCAGAUGGUGUUUUUAUUUAAUGAAUACAAAGAGUUGUCAUUUUAUUCUAUAAAUUGAGAGAGAAAAAACCAGAGAAGGGGAGGAGAUUUUGAGCAGCUUUGAGUACCAAAGAAAAAUAGAAAACUAGAGAGAAAUAUAGUGUAUCACCGUCAUCCUACUUCACACAACCGUGUGCACCACCACCAUCUCACCAUCUUUGUCUUCAAUACCUGAAUAGACAUGUAUUUUCUCAUUCACCCACUCUUCAAACUUUAUAUUUAACACUAGAGAUGAUUUAUUUGAAAGAUAAAAUCUUGUUUGUGUUUGUGUAUAUGAAUGGUGGUGAGAUAAUUUGUGUAGUGAUUUGGGUGACAUAAUUUCUAUUGUGUUUGCAAAGUUUAAAUUUGUUUAGUUUUCUAUCCUAUUUGAGUUAAGCCUUUUACUUUAUGUCUUUACCUUCUCUUGUGCUGAAACACGCUCUGUUUGCUGAUGCCAAUCUGUUGUCAGCUUGAUGUGUGCUAGGUUGCUUUUGUGUCAGUUUGUUAAGUGUUUGCUUGUAGCAUAUUGUUUAUACGUG